CCUACGGGGGGCAGCAGUGGGGAAUAUUGCACAAUGGGCGCAAGCCUGAUGCAGCCAUGCCGCGUGGAGGAUGAAGGUCCUCUGGAUUGUAAACUUCUUUUAUCUGGGAAGAAAUGGUUGCUUUCUAGCGAUCUUGACGGUACCAGAUGAAUAAGCACCGGCUAACUCCGUGCCAGCAGCCGCGGUAAUACGGAGGGUGCAAGCGUUAUCCGGAUUCACUGGGUUUAAAGGGUGCGUAGGCGGAACAGAAAGUCCGUUGUGAAAUCUCCGAGCUUAACUCGGAAAUUGCGGUGGAUACUAUUGUUCUUGAAUACUGUGGAGGUUAGCGGAAUAUGUCAUGUAGCGGUGAAAUGCUUAGAUAUGACAUAGAACACCGAUUGCGAAGGCAGCUGACUACACGGUGAUUGACACUGAGGCACGAAAGCGUGGGGAUCAAACAG
rnacentral:rRNA from 1 species